CGAUUAGGGUUCGAUUCUGGCUCAGGAUGAACGCUAGCGGCAGGCUUAACACAUGCAAGUCGAGGGGCAGCAUGUCCAGCAAUGGAUGAUGGCGACCGGCGGAAGGGUGCGUAACGCGUGAGCAACAUGCCCUAUACAGGGAGAUACACCAGGGAAACUUGGUCUAAUAUCCCAUAGCAUUCAUUGAAGGCAUCUUUAAUGAAUUAAAGCUUCGGUGGUAUAGGAUUGGCUCGCGCGACAUUAGCCAGAUGGUGAGGUAACGGCUCACCAUAGCAAUGAUGUCUAGGGGUUUUGAGAGGAAGGCCCCCCACACUGGGACUGAGACACGGCCCAGACUCCUACGGGAGGCAGCAGUGAGGAAUAUUGGACAAUGGAUGGAAAUCUGAUCCAGCCAUGCCGCGUGCAGGAAGACGGCCUUAUGGGUUGUAAACUGCUUUUAUACGGGAGCAAUAAGGGUUACGAGUAAUCCGAUGAGAGUACUGUAUGAAUAAGGAUCGGCUAACUCCGUGCCAGCAGCCGCGGUAAUACGGAGGAUCCGAGCGUUAUCCGGAAUUAUUGGGUUUAAAGGGUGCGUAGGCGGCCAUUUAAGUCAGCGGUGAAAUUUUGCAGCUUAACUGUAACAGUGCCGUUGAUACUGUUUGGCUAGGAUUUGGUUGUAGUGUGCGGAAUGUGUGGUGUAGCGGUGAAAUGCUUAGAUAUCACACAGAACACCGAUUGCGAAGGCAGCACACUAAGUCAUUAUGACGC
rnacentral:rRNA from 1 species